rnacentral:tRNA from 1 species
UUUUAUAUAGUAUAUAAGUUAAUUACAAUCAAUUUCGACUUGAUAAAAAAUAUAUAAAAU